rnacentral:ncRNA from 2 species
AUUAAAGAAAAGAAUAUGGUUCAUAUAAUCGCAGAGAUAGGGUCUGCAAGUUUCUACCAGACUACCGUAAAUGGUCUGACUAUGAGCAAGUGUGUUUCUAAG